CCAGAACUCAUGCAGAUCGAAUCCACCCAUUUAUUCCAGGCUGAGCGCAGAAGAUGGCUGACCCAGGAAUUGUUUAUACUGCAGGAUUUCUAGGCAUGUUCUUCCCGAGUGCCCCAUCAGACCUCCGUGCCCUUUGUUACCGCACUCAUCGAUUCUGGGUCAGCCGGGAACUUCAUCUCUACCGCCCUCUGCUGCCAACUCGAACUCACAGACACCCAAUGACAGACACUUCAAAGCCCAAACAAUAACCAGAAAGCCCCUUAAUCGUUCCAAGAUCUGGUUCAGGGCUUGACCUCUCCUUCUGGGCAUGGGUGUACCACACCAAAAAAAAAUUCUUUACUGGUUCUGGAGAAUUCUACUGUGGAUAUUGUCCUAGGGCGACCGUGGUUAAUUCAACAUCAUCCAGAGCUCUCUUGAGAAACUGGUGAGAUUAAGAAAUGGAGUGAUAAUGUCAUUCUUCCUGUUUUCCUUCACUUCCUCUUCAUCUACAGAAAGAACCAAUAAAGGUUGCAGUGUGUUCCUCCAUCGAGAGACCUACUAAUCGGCUAUCUGUUCGUGAGUGGAUGUAUGGACUGUCACUGAUCUCACCUGCACAGUAUUUAAGUACUCACCAAACAUAGUCAUCUAGUCUUAUCUUGGACUUCCUCUGUGUUCCUCAUCCGGAUACCUACCUGUUAUCUACCUGUGUGAUCCUCAUCUCCAGUCUCCUUCUCUGGAUCCCCUCGUCUAUCUACAACAAAGGAAAGUUAUUCAUCAUCAUCAGUGACUGACUGUGUGUGUGUUCUUCUCACCUGAUAUUGGAUUCCCGCUUGUGUCUUCACUCAUCUGCCGGUUAUUUUUGCAUUUGAUUGACUGUUUUAAAUAUAGUUUUGAAUGAACUUUUUGCUUUUGAAAGAUAUGUGUUGCACGUUGUGUGGUUUUGUGUGUAGAGCUUUGAGAAAUGGAGCCAUAGUUUCAAUAACUCUAAUUUGUAUUUUUGUUCUGUUGUGUUUUUUUUUUUUUGUCAGAUUUGUUUGUAAUUACUUUCUUUGUUCUUAUUGUAUUGCUGACUUUACAUUAAUUAGUAUUAGUUUUUGCUAAGUAUCGAUAGUAGGGUAGAACGGGGCAAAAGGCGCCUUUGAUUUUAUUUUCC